rnacentral:tRNA from 1 species
GUGGUUAUAGCUCAGUUGAGACAGCGUCAGACUGAAGAUCUGAAAGUCGCGUGCUUGAUCCACACAAACUGCA